UACAGAGGUCCCAAGCGUUGUUCGGAUUCACUGGGCGUAAAGGGUGCGUAGGCGGUCGGGUAAGUCUGAUGUGAAAUCUCACAGCUUAACUGUGAAACUGCAUUGGAUACUAUCCGGCUCGAGGAAUGGAGGGGAGACUGGAAUACUUGGUGUAGCAGUGAAAUGCGUAGAUAUCAGGAGGAAUACCGAUGGCGAAGGCAGGUCUCUGGGCUGACACUGACGCUCAUGCACGAAAGCGUGGGGAGCAAACAGG
rnacentral:rRNA from 1 species